CAUUGUUACUCACACUUUAGUUGGCUUCAAUGAAUCAAUAUCUGAAUUUUUUAUAUAUUUAUCUUCACUUUAAUUGUGAAUUCAAAAAAUGUAUGAUUAAACGUUGCAACCAAAUGGAGGUAAAUGGACCCCAUUAGGGAUUCAACCAAUUAAUAGAGUUGACGUUCAGACUUUGUCCGCCUACAAUUUUUAUUUUGUUACUGUAUCAAGAAGCCUGUCAGUAUCAGAAAUAUGCCCCACAUAGGUGUACUUCAUUUGCUGGUUAGAUUCCAGUGUAUUGUUGGGUGGUUCAUUCUUUUUAAUUAUUUUUCUGACCAGUACGAAUACGUAUUAAAAGUAUCACCUUAGGGUAAAUGAUACUUGUUGGUUGGUGUCCCACGACACUUAGGCAGGAUUUUAUUCCCUCCAUUCCAUCUUAUUUCACCUGUUUUGUUCCAGAAGUAAUUAUGUCGUUCAACCUUGUCUUAGCAUCUUCCAUUUCUUAUUUUCCCCUUUUCAUUAUGAUAAACAUAGGAAAUACUCUGAGUUAUACAUUGGUAGAGGUAUUUUUACACUGUUAAAUCUAUAUGAAUUAGCUUUUGACAUGAAAUUUCAAAUUUAUAAUUACUUUGUAAGUAAUUUGAUUGUGCGACUUUUUUUUCAUAUUCAACACAAACUACUCUAUAAUGCAUUUGUCGCGAAACUUUUAUAGUUUUGUAAAUAUGGUAG